rfam:Chloroflexi bacterium RBG_13_46_9 RBG_13_scaffold_26659, whole genome shotgun sequence.
AAAAAGCGCUAUACAGGCGUAUGGUGAAUGCCUUGGCGCAAGAUGCUGAUGAAGGACGUGGUAGUCUGCGAUAAGUCUCGGGGAGCUGACAAACAAGCGUUAUAUCCGGGAAUGUCCGAAUGGGGAAACCUGGCUGGAUUCAUCUCCAGUCAUCCUACUCGUAAAUACAUAGCGGUAGGAGAGGCACCCAGGGAACUGAAACCUCUAAGUACCUGGUGGAAAAUAAAAAAGAUCCCCCGCUAUCCCAUAGUGCGACAUCGUACUAUGAGAUAGCGGGGGAAACAUUCCCUUAGUAGUGGCGAGCGAACGGGGAAGAGCUCAAACCUGAUGUGUGUAAGGAUGAUCGGAUCACAGAUUCGCGUUGCGAUNNNNNNNNNNNNNNNNNNNNNNNNNNNNNNNNNNNNNNNNNNNNNNNNNNNNNNNNNNNNNNCGAUAGUGAACAAGUUCCGUGAGGGAAAGGUGAAAAGCACCCCUGUUAGGGGAGUGAAAUAGAUCUGAAACCAUAUGCUUACAAACAGUCAGAGCCCCGCUAGCCUAUAGUUUGUAUCUUUCUUUAAUCAAUUUCCCGGCGAUAAUUUUAUCGUUGUGAAGUAUGAUCUGAGAUAUGCAUUUCUUGUAUGUACUUAAGUGCGUGUCUUCAGAGAUUCCUGGAUACUAUAUUGGUGUGACGGGAAACCUAAUUUAUAGGUUGGUUCAACACAAUUCUCCAUUGAAUACCGGGUAUACAGCGGGUAGAAAAUGGAAAUUAGUGUAUGUUGAAGGCUACGUAUCAAGACUAUCUGCAGAAGAGCGAGAAAAGAAACUGAAGCAGUAUGGAUCUGUGUGGUACGGAGUCAUGAGAAGGAUAAAACGAACUAUAAGUUAGCGGGGUGAUGGCGUGCCUAUUGAAGAAUGAGCCAGCGAGUUAGUAUUUGCAGCAAGGUUAAGUCCGCGAAGCGGACGGAGCCGAAGCGAAAGCGAGUCUGAACAGGGCGAGCCGCUAACCUAUAGAGUGCCUUAGACGAGGGCCUUCUAUAGGUGAGCGGGUUAGUUGCAGUUACUAUACCCGAAACUAGGUGAUCUACGCAUGGACAGGGUGAAGUCCCGCGAAAGCGGGACGGAGGCCCGAACUCGUUAGAGUUACAAAUCUAUGAGAUGAUCCGUGCAUAGUGGUUAUAUGCCAAUCGAACCUAGAGAUAGCUGGUUCUCCCCGAAAUAGCUUUCGGACUAGCCUUGAAGGUUAGCACCGGGGGUAGAGCACUGAUUGGAUCGAGGGGUCGAAAGACUACCUCAUCCAUUCAAACUCCGAAUACCGGUGUAAUUACUUCAGGAGUCAGAACCUGGGAGCUAAGUUCCAGUGUUCUAAAGGGAAACAGCCCAGACCAUCUGUUAAGGUCCCCAAAUGUAUUCUAAGUGGGAAAGGAAGUGAGAGCUCUUACACAGCUAGGAGGUUGGCUCAGAGGCAGCCACCCUUUAAAGAGUGCGUAACAGCUCACUAGUCUAGAGUUCUCGUACCUAAGAUUCAACGGGGCUAAGAAUACUACCGAAACAGUGGAUUUUGAUGAUUCUUCGGAAUUAUUAGAAUGGUAGGGGAGCGUUCCAUACAUGUUUGCUGAAUGCAAACUUUUGCGGUGAAGGUGGCCCGUAAGGAGCUGCUGGAGCGUAUGGAAGUGAGAAUGCUGGCAUGAGUAGCGCAAUUCCAAUGAAAACUUGGGACGCCGGAAAUCUAAGGUUUCCAUGGCAAUGUCAGUCAACCAUGGUUUAGUCGAUCCUAAGCUGAGGCCGAAAGGCGUAAGCGAUGGAUAACAGGUUAAUAUUCCUGUACUACCUUAAUCUAGCGAUGGGGUGACGGAUGGAGGAUAAUGCAAGCCCUGGUAGGUCAGGGUGCAAGUAGUAAGCUAGUACUUCUAGGCAAAUCCGGAAGUACGUUCCCCGCCAUCCUAUAGCACGAAAACUCGUACUAUGGGACGGCGGGGUGAACGUGAGCUAUGAUGCAAAGUUGAACCUUCGGGGGAUACGAUUUGUAGGACUUCUGUUCCCGGAAAACCCUCUAAGUGUUGUACUUGGCUGAUUUAUCAGCUGGGUACUUUAACGAUUAAGGUAUUCGUACCGCAAACCGACACUGGUGGAUUGGUAGAAUAUACCAAGGCGUUCGGGUGAGCCCGUGCUAAGGAAUUCGGCAAAAUUACUCUGUAACUUAGGGAUAAAGAGGGCCAUACAACGGUUAUUUUUAAUAGUCGUUGAUUAUGGCCGCAGAGAAAUCGGCAAGAGCGACUAGUUAACUAAACUACAGGUGCCUGCUAACUCGUAAGAGGAUGUAUAGGUGCUGAUACCUGCCCAAUGCCAGAAGGUUAAGGAAGCUGGUUAACCCGCAGUCUUCGGACUUGCGGGUGAAGCCGGCGACUGAAGCCCUGGUGAAUGGCGGCUGUAACUAUAACGGUCCUAAGGUAGCGAAGUCCCUCGUCACUUAAUUAGUGACCUGCACGAAUGGUGUAACGACUCUUGUACUGUCUUAGCAUGGAGCCCGGCGAAAAUGAAAUGGCUGUGAAGAUGCGGCCUACCCGUACCUGGACAAAAAGACCCCGUGGAGCUUUACUGCACCUUCAUGUUGGAACAUAUUGUUGAUUGUAGAGUAUAGGAGGGAGACUUUGAAACUUCGGCGCCAGCUGAAGUGGAGUCGACCGUGGAAUACCCCCCUUUUGACUUUGUGUUUCUAAUCUGCAUCCGUUAUCCGGAGCAGAGACAGCGUGUGGGAGGCAGUUUGACUGGGGCGGUUGCUUGCAAAAGAGUAACGCAAGCGCACAAAGGUCUCCUCAAUCCGGAUGGAAAUCGGAUGAAGAGUGCAUUGGCAUAAGGAGGCUUUACUGUCAGACAGACAUGUCGAGCAGUAGCGAAAGCUGGUCAAAGUGACCCUAUGGUUGAUCAUGGGAUCGCCAUUGUUUAACGAAGAUAAGCUACCCC